UUAUUGAGCAUGAAACACCUAUGCACGUUUCUUUGUGAAGCAGGGAUUCCACUUGUUUCUGCUCAUAUGAGUUCGUAAUUUUGUAGAGUCUGAUCAAACUCUACAAAGGGAAAUGUCCUUCCAAAGGAAAAUGUCCCUAAUUUUUUAGUCUGUCUCAGGCAAUGCCUAUCAUCACUUAGGUUUUGGCUUCCUAGUGGGGAAUAGAACCUAAAAUGUCUUUCUUAUUUAUUUUUUCCCCUUUGGAAUAGGUAUUUAUUUAUUCACAUGGUUAAAAAAAAUCAAAGCCAUAUCAAAAGGUUUACAAUGAAAACCUUUGCUCUUAUUUUCUAUCCUGAAUCCCAGUUACAUUUAUCAUGUAUUACAUAUCCUUUCAGUUUCUUUGUACAAAUACCAGUACUGUACAUGGUGUGUAUCUAUAUUAUUUACACACACACAAGGAAGCAUGUAAUAUACACUGUUCUGUACCUUCAUUUUUUGCUUCACAUGGUGCUCAGGCACUAUGCUAGUUGUCUCACAAAUGUUAACCCAUUCACUCUUCCUAAGGACCUUAUGAGAUAGGUUUUAUUAUUAGCUCUAUUUUACUGUUAAGGAAACUGAGGCAGUAGUUAGUAGAGAGAGGCAGUGCAUCGGUUAACUGAGUUGCUCAAGGGCACGUGGCUGGUAAGUGGCAUAGCUGGGUUUCCAAGGCAGGCAGGCAACUGUCCUCAGGGUCUAGGUUCUUAACCGCUCUGCCACGUUGCCUCUUGGAGAGCUUGCCACGAUUCGCAGAAAGCGCCCUCAGACAACACACAGGAUUCUGUUAAAUGGAUGUAGCAGAAUUUGUCUCAUCAGCCCCCUGAUGCCUGGGUUGCUUCUAAUCAUUUGGUAUUAGAAGCCAUACGGAAAAAAAUAACCACGUACAUUUUGGAUAUGUGUGGGUGUAUGUGUCGAAUACUUUUCCAGCAUUGGGACUGCUGGUGAAGGGGAAAUACAUCUGUGACGUUGCUAGGCCUGCCUCGCUGGCCUCCGUGGGACCGCAUCACUUUACAUGCCUGGUGUUCUCUGUUCCCCUCAGCCUCUCCAGCAGCUUAUGCUACGAGACUUUUCUUUUCCAAGCUAAAGGAUUAAAAAUAUCUCAGAAUAACUUAAAUUUUCCCUCCCUCCCUCUCUGUUUCUCUGUUUUCUUCUUUCUUUCUUGCUGAACUCGCAGCAUGUCGAAGUUUCCAGGCCAGAGAUCAAGCCCUCGCCAGAGCAGUGACCCAAGCUGCUGCAGUGACAACACGGGAUCCUUAAUCCACUGCUACAAGAGAACUCCUCUGGUCUUGUUCUCAUUGAUUUCCAGAAGCUCAUGCUUUAGCAGUGCUAAGCCGACAGCAUCUACACUUUCAAGAGUCUGGGCAAGUUAUUAAGGCUUCUUGCUUUCUUAUCUUCCCCAUGUAUUGGUUUGCUUUAGUGCUUACAACCUUUCUCAGCUUCCUCUCAAGGCAGAGGGAGCUGAGACAGGUGUGUGUGUGGGGGGGGGGGGGAGGUGGGGGGUGGAUAGGCGGGUGGGCACCACACCAGAGCAGCCAGAGGCCUGAGGAAAGGUGUCAGUCAGAUGCCACUGAGACCUGGGUCUAGGUCAGGAAGAGCAUCACAGCCUCUCUGACAGUGGCCCUUGGACUUGGGGUAGUGGGGACUCCUUCCGGCCAAAGGGCAGGCGGAGGCCGAGCUGGGGCCGGGGUCACUCGCUCCUGAGGGAAGAGGCAUCUGGUCCAGGCAGACAGCAUGAGAGGCUCCUCCCAUCCAUCUGCGAAGAUGCACAAGUGUGUCGUGAAGUUAGCCUGUUCUUGUCGCCAGCCCAGGACCAGGGGUUCCUUCCGCUCUCUAGAAGCACAGAAUCCCACCUCUGUGCCAGGCUGCGUGAGGAGCUGUCCAUCCGCUAAAGAAUGUAAGCAGGACCGCCGCCUCCCAGCCGGCAGCGGAGAGCGCCCCCGGCCUCCGCUACCGCAGCGGCCAGCCCCCGCCCUUCGCCAAGCCGACCUGGGCGGGUGUGGAAGCCGGAUCCCUCUCUUUCAUUUUCGUUUCCCGGAAGGAUAGCAAUUACUGAAGCGCCGUGCGCGCCUGCUCGCCCGGGAACCGAGGGCACAGACCCGGCUAUAUGAAAGAGAUUUCCUCCCAAGCGACCUUCCCGUUUUGAGGCCAAGUUAGGGGUCUGGGGGAAAAGGGCCCGAGAGCGCGCAGGCCUAGGGCCCAGCGGCUGCAGCCACCGGAGCGCUCACGACGGACAGCCGGGAGACUCCCUCGCCUUCACCUGUAAUGCAGGAGAGAGCUUUGGCCAGUUCUCCUGUGAGCCCUGAAGCAGCCACACUGCACCCAGGCACCCAGGCCCGAGGCAGAUGUGAAGCCAGAGUAAAACUGCUGUUGGAGAGGGGACUCUGCAAGCUGCCAGGAAGACUCCGCAUCCAGCCAGUGCUCUGGAGCAGGGAGGACGUGCUGCACUGGCUGCGCUGGGCUGAGCAGGAGUACUCUCUGCAGCACACGGGGGAACACAGCUUUGAGAUGAACGGCCGCGCCCUGUGCAUCCUCACCAAGGAUGACUUCCGGCUUCGCGCCCCAGCUUCAGGUCAGGGACACUCACUGGCUUCUCUGAUGCAACCCCGGGGGGCAGGGACGGGGAGGGAGGCAGAGGGGGUGCUGGCUGGAGGAUCAUGCUCCCUUCUCAGCCCUGCAGAUGCGCUCUUUCCACAUGUGCCUGGUGGUUCCCACCUCGAGCAGGUCAGCAGCAAAGGUGUCAACCUGGGUGUCCUUUCAGAGCCUGGAAUGGGGGAGGGGGGGCUGUCCUGUUCCCUUACUCUCCCCUCCCCAUUUCCAUCCUACGGCCUUGCAUCUCCCUCAGCACGAAGCUUGGGAUGGGACAUGCCAGCCCGCACCUGAAGGCAGGUGACGGCAGGGGCCUGGUCAGCAGUCUGCCCUCCCGCUCCACCCCCAGGUGACGUGCUGUACGAGCUACUCCAGUACAUCAAGACCCAGCGGCAAGCCCUGAUGUGUGGGCCCUUUUUCGGAAGGGCCUUCAUGCAGAGGAUGCCCCCCCAGCCCUGCCCCUACUCCCUGGAAGGUGAGGAGGCUCUCCUGGGACUCCAAGACCUUUCCCCAGAUCGGCCUCAAGGGGAAGGCGGGGCUCCCUCCAGGCAAAGUGAAGAGGAGGCAGCGCCCCGCCUCCCUCGCUGAGAUGGCCCUCUGGGCCGCAGGCCUGUCUCCUUCCUCGGCUCUGCUCUCCUCUCCAGCCCCGGCUGUGUGUGUGGCACCUCCAUCUCUUCUCCUGAUCUCGCCAUGGAAACCGCUCCCAUAAGGGUCUGAUUCCAGGGACCUGCGCACAAACUGUCCAGGUCACCCCAGUCCUAACUCCCGGCUGCAGCCUUCCUUUGCUGGGGACAAAAUGUUAGACAACACCUUUGAUUACUUUCUCUCGCUCUCACCCUCAUCCUGUCAACAAAUCCCGUUGGCUCUACCAUCAAGAUCUAUCCAGAAUCCAACCACUGCACACACCUCCACUGUGGCCACCUCUGCAGAAUCUCCUUGCUGGUCUCCUUGCUUCUGCCCUGGACCUCCUAUGACCUCAACAGAGCAGCCAGAGAUUCAUACGACAAUCAUGUUACUUCUCUGCUCAAAAUCUGCCAGUGGCUCCCAUCUCACUUGUCAAGCCACAGCCCUUACAAAGAGUUCCUCACCCUCUGCCACCCCCUCCUGCUUGUUCUUACUGCUCCAGCCACACCAGCCUCCUUACUCCUGGAACAAGCCAGACACCCCUGCCUCAGGGCCUUUGCUCUUACUGUUCUCGCUGCCUGACACUCUGUCCUGUAAAAACCCACAGAGCUCACUCCACAGGUGUCUAUACUCAUGUUAACACAGCAGUGAGGCCUUUCCCAGAACUGCCUUUAUUUCUCUCCCACCCCCACAUUGCACACUGUUUUCUUUUUAAUUUAUUUUAAUUUUUAUCUUUUUAGGGCCGCACCCAUGGCAUGUGGAAGUUCCCAGGCUAGGGGUCUAAUCAGAGCUGCAGCUGCUGGCCUAUACCACAGCCACAGCAAUGCAGGAUCCGAGCUGCAUCUGUGACUACACCACAGCUCAUGGCAACACCAGAUCCUUAACCCACUGAGCGAGGCCAGGGCUUGAACCUGCAUCCUCAUGGAUACUAGCCGGGUUUUUAACCCAAUGAGCCACAAUGGGAACUCCUCCUUUUUUACUUUAAUCAUCUCUCCCCUGGCCCCACCUCCAUGAGAACAGAAGUUCCAUGAAGGUAGAAGAUUUUUGGGUUCAGUGAUGUGUCCCCAAAGUUCUUAGAACAAUGCCUGAUUCAUAGAAGUUUCUCCAUAAAUAUUAAUUGGUGGAUAGUGAGGACACCUGGCUUCUGGACCUGACUCUGUCUGCUCUUGGCUUUGUGAAUAAUUUUACAGAUGAGAGAACAGGUCUGAGAGACUACGCUGCUUAUCUGGGAGCUGGGGUUACCACCUGGGCUGUCUGGCCCUCACCCGUGCCCUCUUCUGCCUCCCUGACCUUCUAACCAGGGGCUGGGAGCGGGCAGGACACUAAGAGUCCAGCUCCAUGGGCAUGUUGUGGGGUCUGGGCCUGAAGAAUCAACCACGCUCAUCUGCUUGCAGAGGGGACUGGCUUCCUGCAGCAGCCACCCGACCCAGGGCUUGCCAGCUCCUGGAGCCACCUGGAUGUCCCUGGCCCAGCCAGCUGGCCCCUUAGUAAGCAGGAGUCCUUCAGUUUUUCUCGCUGGGCAGAGCUCGGCUGCAGGGCAGAGGGAGCCGGCUCCUUCCCCACAACGUCAACACGGCAGGCCCCCAUUGAUGGCAGGAUCGCAGAACCGGGUGAACAUGACCUACGAGAAGAUGUCGCGUGCCCUGCGCCACUACUAUAAGCUGAAUAUCAUUAAGAAGGAACCUGGGCAGAAACUCCUGUUCAGAUUUCUGAAGACACCCGGGAAGACCAUCCAGGACGAGGACAGCGGCAGGGAGCUUCUGGAGAGCCAGGAGCAGGACAGACUAGAUUCCAAGGAGGAGAUGCUGGAAGUCUCUCCGUGAACGGCACGUGGACUCCAGGCACCAGGCACCUGCAAGACAGAGACAGAGUCUCACAUGAAAGCCGCUGUAGAGCCCUCCUCCCUCCACCCAGGGCAGCAGGAAAGCCCAGCAGAGUUCUGCACUCACAGCUGGUGUCUCAGACCUCAGAGCCGCCUGGGAAGCUUGGGGAGUGAGAAGGGCUGAGGACAUGGCGGGAGUAUCAUUCUUCAGGCAGGGCAGCCCUGACGCUGGGCGGGGGCACAGGGAGUGAGCUCUCUUCCUGCCCUUCGCCUUGGUCCCUGCUCAGCUCAGGAGAGGAAGCAGAUCUCCAAGAAAACAUCUAGUCCAAAGAAGGAAGCCGAAGUCCCUCGCUGAGCCUCCGCUUUCCUCAUCUGCAAAAGGGCAUGCUCAUGAAAACCCCCUUGGGGGCUGGUGCAUGAAAUGGAAAAAAGGAUUGCUGCUUUGUCAACUCUGGUGAUAAUAAUAAUGAUACUGGACAUUGAGGGGCUUACUGUGUGCCAGGCCUUGUGCCAAGAGCCUAACUUACAUUUUAUCUCAUUCAAUUCACAUUCCAGCCCCCUGAGGUUUAAAGAUGAGGCAAAGGAGGCAGAGGCUGGCAGAACUGGGAUGCUUGCCCUGAGCCCAGCGCUGUGACCUAUUCUUUCUCAGCACCACUGAAUGUACUGGGCACUUCUCAAGCAGAGGCCAUGGCCCUGCCUCUCCAUCCUCAGCAUCUUCACUGAACAGUUCACCUCACCUGGCCCAAUCCCCUUGUCCUCAGUUUUCAGUGCGUGGCGACUCUGACCCAUCCCCACUCCAGCUUAUCAUUUACCUGCAUUGGCCAGGUGACCUCGGGUAGGUUAUUCCAUCUCUCUGGAGCCUCAUGUUUCUUGUCUGCAAAGUGGGGGUGCUAUUCCUGGCCCAACCUCACAGGACUCCCAGAAAACCUCAAUAAGACAGCAUUUGUGCUAUGCUUAGUGCAGGCCUGCUGUGUGAGGAGCUAAGAAAACCCCGCAAAUCCAAAGCUGCUCCAAAGCAUGAAAAUGCCCCUCCUAUUGGCUCAGCUCCCCAGCCCCCCAGGUACCUCCCGAUGGGGUCAGAGCCUCUGCCCUCAAAACCCCAGGGUGGGAAAGUGAAGGGAGUGUUUUCACUACAUCGAAAACACAACUUCUUGGACUCGCAUCUUCUUUUCUGGAAGGAGGAAACCACCUCGGCCUCUUGCCUCCAACAGAUCAGGAAACCCCCCCUGCCUGGCUGCGCCUGAGCUGGCCUUGGGUCACUGUAGGGAAGCUGAUAAGGAUUCUUGGAUUUGGGGGCUCCAACUGUGACUGCCCAUAAGCAGGGAAAAUCCUGGCUUAGUCCUGCCUGGGGCCCUGAACAAUUCUGCACCAGAAGAGGCCCAACAGGGGCCUCAGCAAAAACGUUCAGCAGGAACAUCCUGGGCCCCUGAGUCUUUCCUGAGACUGUUCCCUCUCCUUGACUUUGCUUCAGGAUGAAUGCACACCCCACAGCCCUUAUCAUCCCAGGCCCAGAAUUAGACUGGGAGGGACCAGCGAAAUUGACUCAUCCAGGCUCUCCUGCUAUAGAUAAGGCUGCUGAGGCCAGAGAGGGGGAGUGACUUGCCCAAGGACACACAGCCCUGCUCAGGGUGCCGCCCCCUAGCGUUGCCUCAUUUCUAGUUGCUUUGUACCUUGCUCACAGGUCUGAGAUGCAGAGAUUUAAAAGAGAGGAUGGAGUGGUAAGUCACUUCUUCCAGUUACAGUGCUGGCAUCUGCCUGCUGUCAUGUUCAUGGCUGUCAGCAGCUGUGAAUCCCAAGGACUGUGGCUUCACAGUGGGGGGGUUAAAUCUUAUUCCAUGCUGGGACUUCUGGGGCCAGGGGUGGGCUGUGGGCCUGGGCAGAGUCCACCAGCCCAGAUCCCAGAGGCCUGGACUCCCCACUCGGCUCUGGGUUGAGGUGCACCCCACUUCUCCAAGCACAUUUGGCUCUGGUCUGGGAUGGACACCCAGGUGCCAGGAAUAAGGGGAUUCAUUCAGCCCUUCCUUCCAUGAGCAUUAAUUGGGCACCUGCUAUGUACCUGGCACCAGAGAAGGCCUUGGGUUUAUAUCUAUUUAUUAUACCAUUAGAUUCCUGAAAACUGGUGGAUCACUGAAAACAAAUUAUGUCAAAAUGGACUUUCUCACAAAUCAUUUUAACAAGCAAGAAACAGAGUCCCAUGGUUUGAAAAAGCAGCCAGCUGUGACCCUUUGUGCCACAUUAUAUUAAUGUUAACAGGAAAUAAAGAGUUUAUAGGAAAAAAA